UUUCCGGCUAAGAAUUUAUUCAAAUUGAAUUUUUUAGUACAUUUAAAUUAUAUAUUAGAAUGUUUGUUGUGCACUAAACUUAAUGGAACUUAAGGCCAUCUGCAUUGGUCGACUUUAAAAAAAAUAUUUUGUUAAUGAAAAUAAGAAUAAAAAUAAAAUAGAAGAGAGAAAUAAAUAGAGAGAUAGCGCGUAUAAGAAACUAUGAUAAAUUUUGGAGAGACUCACCAAGUGACAAAUAUCAACUCAAUUGGUAAAAUAUAACAGCAAUAUUUGCAUAAUAUAAAAAAUGAACCAUCAUUAAAUUUUACCAUUUUUGUAUAAACUAACAAAUAAACCUCUGUUUCGAAGUAUUUUACUUUAGGAAGAAUGGUUAUCCUAGGAUUCGAGAGAAUUCAAGAUUUGAUUAAAUCCAAGAAAGUCCGAGAUUUGAGUAAAACUUAAAAAGUUUUGUUACAAAUUUUAUGGGUUUUUUGAAAAAAAAAUCAAUGUUUUGAAAAAACAUUUAAACAUUUUAUAUUUAUUUAAAAUCAUAUUAUUAUUUUUAAAAUUACAAUAAUUUGAUAUUUUUAUCGUUUUAUGAAAUAUAUAAAAGUUUUUAAAAUUUUAUUUUCAAAAUUUAUUUUUUAUAUUUCAAACAGUUUGAUUUUCGCUGACAAAAAAAGUUUGAUUUUUUUUUUUAAGAUUUGAAGUAUAUUUUUUAUUUUAAAAAGUUUCAUAUACCAUCAUAGAAGGUGAUAUUUUGAGUCAUUGCUUUUUUACUAUAAAAUAUCAUCCAAACCACACCAAAUUUUUAUUUGAUAGAUUUUAUUGACAAAAGUCAUAUUUUCCAGUAAGUUGAAAUUUGGGAGAACUUAUACAAAUGACUAAUAAAAUAAGCUUACAUUUCAUGUAGAAAUUAUAAAUGUUAGAUAUAAUAAGAGGGGAUUUGAAUUCAUGGUAAUUAUUCCUUUUUUUUAAUAAGCAUGUGUGCGUAUACCAUGGACAAAGAGAAAGUACAGAAAUUUGACCCAAAAAAAAAAAAAAAAGAAGAGAAAAUACAAAAAAAUCUUACCAGAUGUAUAAAGUGACAGCGAAGUGAGACUGAAUCAAGUACACUCAAGACUUCACAUAGAUCCCCAUGGAUUUUAUACAUCUACGAUUUGAAAUAUAAAACCCUAUCUAACUAUCUACAAUCUAUCAAAUAAACAGAUAAGGUAGAAAAUAUUGCAAACAUAUACUUUAGGUAGUUCAGAUAAACUUAGAUUAUUGUGUAUUUGCAGUAGAUAACGUAAACAAGUUUGGAAAUUAGCUAUAUGAAAAAGCACUAUGCAUUAUCUCAUAAUACCAAGUUUAACCUUAUUAACUAUAUUUUCCGCAAAAAACCAAACUUUAAGUAACUCUUUUCAUACAGUCUCUUCUCUCAAUUUCAAUCAGAAAGUAAAACCAGAUUGAAGUUUAUAGAAGAUGGUCUCUUCCCAACUCAUUGACUCACUUGAUUCAACAGAAACAGAAAGCGAUUUGACGAUUGCCGAUAUGAUAUCAUAGCCAAAAACAGAGAAUAUGACAUGGGUUGAAACAAAGACAUCACCGGUUUCUCCUUCUAAAACUCCAAGAAUAUCUGAAAGUUUGGUUCUUUUCUGGUUCAUCACCAUAAUCCGAUCACAGAAAAUAGUUGGGGUGAAUGUAUCCGGAUCAUGAUUUGUUUGAUCGGUUUCUUUUCUUUUUAACUGGAUUUUUUAUUUGGAUUCUAUAGUCUGUCAGCGGAGAAUCCAAUAUGUUCUUAGUUGAAAAAAACUUUUUUUGGUAUUAUGGAAAAUGUAUUCAGAUCAUGACAUGUUUGAUCAGUUUCUUUUACUUUUAACAGGUUUU